GGGAGCAAACAGAAUUAGAUACCCUGGUAGUCCACGCAGUAAACGAUGAAUGUUAGUCGUCGGGUAGCUAGUCUAUUCGGUGAUGCAGCUAACGCAUUAAACAUUCCGCCUGGGGAGUACGGUCGCAAGAUUAAAACUCAAAGGAAUAGACGGGGACCCGCACAAGUGGUGGAGCAUGUGGUUUAAUUCGAAGAUACGCGAAGAACCUUACCUGGCCUUGACAUAUUUUAGAAUUCUUUAGAGAUAGAGAAGUGCCUUCGGGAGCUAAUAUACAGGUGCUGCACGGCUGUCGUCAGCUCGUGUCGUGAGAUGUUGGGUUAAGUCCCGCAACGAGCGCAACCCUCGUCACUAGUUACUAACGGUUCGGCCGAGGACUCUAGUGAGACUGCCUUCGCAAGGAGGAGGAAGGUGAGGACGACGUCGAGUCAUCAUGGCCCUUACGGCCAGGGCAACACACGUGCUACAAUGGUUAGGACAAUGAGACGCAAUACCGCGAGGUGGAGCAAAUCUAUAAACCUAAUCUCAGUUCGGAUUGUUCUCUGCAACUCGAGAACAUGAAGCUGGAAUCACUAGUAAUCGUAGAUCAGCUAUGCUACGGUGAAUACGUUCCCGGGUCUUGUACUCCCGCCCGUCACACCAUGGGAGUUGAUUUCACCCGAAGCGGGGAAGCUAAACUGGCUACCCUCCACGGUGGAAUUAGCGACUGGGGUGAAGUCGUAACAAGGUAGCCGUA
rnacentral:rRNA from 1 species